ACGCACGCUGGCGGCGUGCUUAACACAUGCAAGUCGAACGGAAAGGCCCUGCUUUUGUGGGGUGCUCGAGUGGCGAACGGGUGAGUAACACGUGAGUAACCUGCCCUUGACUUUGGGAUAACUUCAGGAAACUGGGGCUAAUACCGGAUAGGAGCUCCUGCUGCAUGGUGGGGGUUGGAAAGUUUCGGCGGUUGGGGAUGGACUCGCGGCUUAUCAGCUUGUUGGUGGGGUAGUGGCUUACCAAGGCUUUGACGGGUAGCCGGCCUGAGAGGGUGACCGGCCACAUUGGGACUGAGAUACGGCCCAGACUCCUACGGGAGGCAGCAGUGGGGAAUAUUGCACAAUGGGCGGAAGCCUGAUGCAGCAACGCCGCGUGCGGGAUGACGGCCUUCGGGUUGUAAACCGCUUUCGCCUGUGACGAAGCGUGAGUGACGGUAAUGGGUAAAGAAACACCGGCUAACUACGUG
rnacentral:rRNA from 1 species